rnacentral:ncRNA from 1 species
CCGACGCCGCGAGACCGUGGCGAUCCCGGACGAGUUGCGUGUCGUACCCGGCCUGACAAGACGACCGCCUC